AUGCCAGACGAGAGCAUGAUAUUAUUAUAUACAAAACGCGUGGCCUACGCAUUAAAAGCGAAAAAGGAUUAGUCCGGGCUUGGGAAGUAUUACUAUUACACGCGCGUAUACGACGGCAAUAUUAUUAAUUUAAUACAAUACGCCGCGGUAGACGAGACCCACGAAUUUGUUCGGGAAUAUAUAGAAAAAAAAAAAAAGAAAAAAAAACGGCCGCGGAGUUAUUAACGAUCCCGCGCGAUUGAUAUGCAAAUUGUUCGUAUUUGCCUUUU